rnacentral:lncRNA from 1 species
AAAAGUAAGGGUGAGCUAGGUAAACAAACAUUUUAACAUAUAGUACAAUCUAUAAAUAUCAUUAUGCUUAAUUUCAAAUGAAAGAACAAGCAACGCAUACCAAUCGGCCCAUGCAUCAAACACUCAACACGACUCAUCCGGAUUUGGUAUAACUGUCUAGCUAUUGGUCGUCUUCGCACUUGCAUAGUUCAGUUGGCCCAUCCCAACACUAUGCAAGGUAAAUCCCCCAAUCUGUCUAUGUCUAAACUCUAAGACUAUAGACGAGGACCUCCCUCUACUCUCACCACUCACACUAUUCUCCUCUAUUUGAGUAUGAACAAUGCUUUGAGUGUAGGGAUAGACACACCAUUUCAAAGCUCCCAACAUUAUACAAACAACAACAACACCCC